GCACAAGGCGGCUCGGGCUUUGGGCUUCAUGAUACUGGUGCUGUGCCUUUUCUUGGACUCCCAACAUGUCUUGCUUUGCCCAGGAAGGAUUCUGAAAGGGUGGCCAAGAUCAGCCAUAUAUUAUCAUUAAAAACAAUUUUUAUGUUUGCUCUCCUGACGUCUGGGAAGCAGUGACUGUGUCUUGCUAUCCUCAUGCCUACGGCACGUGGGAAGUGCUCCCUGAAGCUCUGUUGUGUGAAUGAAGACAUGACCGCAGUGUUUAGCCAGUCCAGGAACUUCUAAAACUGUAUGAUCGUCUGGGGAGUUGCUGUCGUGGCUCAGCAGAAACGAACUCGGCUAAUAUCCAUGAGGAUGUAACUCACUCUCCCUCCUUCAGUAGUUCUGACCAGCAGCCGCACUGGAGGAGGUGGGGGCAGAGAGGAAGACGACGACGAGGGAGAGGGAGAAGAGGAGAGAAGAGCAAGUUCCCGUCGGGGCGCCCGGGA
rnacentral:lncRNA from 1 species